AUGAACGCUAGCUACAGGCUUAACACAUGCAAGUCGAGGGGCAGCAUGGUCUUAGCUUGCUAAGACUGAUGGCGACCGGCGCACGGGUGAGUAACACGUAUCCAACCUGCCGUCUACUCUUGGACAGCCUUCUGAAAGGAAGAUUAAUACAAGAUGGCAUCAUGAGUCCGCAUGUUCACAUGAUUAAAGGUAUUCCGGUAGACGAUGGGGAUGCGUUCCAUUAGAUAGUAGGCGGGGUAACGGCCCACCUAGUCUUCGAUGGAUAGGGGUUCUGAGAGGAAGGUCCCCCACAUUGGAACUGAGACACGGUCCAAACUCCUACGGGAGGCAGCAGUGAGGAAUAUUGGUCAAUGGGCGAGAGCCUGAACCAGCCAAGUAGCGUGAAGGAUGACUGCCCUAUGGGUUGUAAACUUCUUUUAUAAAGGAAUAAAGUCGGGUAUGCAUACCCGUUUGCAUGUACUUUAUGAAUAAGGAUCGGCUAACUCCGUGCCAGCAGCCGCGGUAAUACGGAGGAUCCGAGCGUUAUCCGGAUUUAUUGGGUUUAAAGGGAGCGUAGAUGGAUGUUUAAGUCAGUUGUGAAAGUUUGCGGCUCAACCGUAAAAUUGCAGUUGAUACUGGAUAUCUUGAGUGCAGUUGAGGCAGGCGGAAUUCGUGGUGUAGCGGUGAAAUGCUUAGAUAUCACGAAGAACUCCGAUUGCGAAGGCAGCCUGCUAAGCUGCAACUGACAUUGAGGCUCGAAAGUGUGGGUAUCAAACAGGAUUAGAUACCCUGGUAGUCCACACGGUAAACGAUGAAUACUCGCUGUUUGCGAUAUACGGCAAGCGGCCAAGCGAAAGCGUUAAGUAUUCCACCUGGGGAGUACGCCGGCAACGGUGAAACUCAAAGGAAUUGACGGGGGCCCGCACAAGCAGCGGAGCAUGUGGUUUAAUUCGAAGCAACGCGAAGAACCUUACCAAGGCUUGACAUCCUCUGACGAAUGUAGAGAUACAUUUUCCCUUCGGGGCAGAGAGACAGGUGGUGCAUGGUUGUCGUCAGCUCGUGCCGUGAGGUGUCGGCUUAAGUGCCAUAACGAGCGCAACCCUUGUUGUCAGUUACUAACAGGAUUUGCUGAGGACUCUGACAAGACUGCCAUCGUAAGAUGUGAGGAAGGUGGGGAUGACGUCAAAUCAGCACGGCCCUUACGUCCGGGGCUACACACGUGUUACAAUGGGGGGUACAGAGGGCCGCUACCACGCGAGUGGAUGCCAAUCCCAAAAACCUCUCUCAGUUCGGAUCGAAGUCUGCAACCCGACUUCGUGAAGCUGGAUUCGCUAGUAAUCGCGCAUCAGCCAUGGCGCGGUGAAUACGUUCCCGGGCCUUGUACACACCGCCCGUCACACCAUGAGAGUUGGGGAUACCCGAAGCCUGUGAGCCAACAUAUCUAUGAGGCAGCAGUCGAAGGUAGAAUCAAUGAUUGGGGUG
rnacentral:rRNA from 1 species